rnacentral:rRNA from 1 species
CCUACGGGAGGCUGCAGUGGGGAAUAUUGCACAAUGGGCGCAAGCCUGAUGCAGCCAUGCCGCGUGUGUGAAGAAGGCCUUCGGGUCGUAAAGCACUUUCAGCGGGGAGGAAGGCGGUGAGGUUAAUAACCUCAUCGAUUGACGUUACCCGCAGAAGAAGCAUCGGCUAACUCCGUGCCAGCAGCCGCGGUAAUACGGAGGGUGCAAGCGUUAAUCGGAAUUACUGGGCGUAAAGCGCACGCAGGCGGUCUGUCAAGUCGGAUGUGAAAUCCCCGGGCUCAACCUGGGAACUGCAUUCGAAACUGGCAGGCUAGAGUCUUGUAGAGGGGGGUAGAAUUCCAGGUGUAGCGGUGAAAUGCGUAGAGAUCUGGAGGAAUACCGGUGGCGAAGGCGGCCCCCUGGACAAAGACUGACGCUCAGGUGCGAAAGCGUGGGGAGCAAGCAGGAUUAGAUACCCCAGUAGUC